UAUGUGAUCGUCUCUCGCAUAUCAAUAAGCGGAGGAAAAGAAACUAACAAGGAUUCCCCUAGUAACGGCGAGUGAAGCGGGAAGAGCUCAAAUUUGAAAUCUUAAAGGGUUUCCCUUUACGAAUUGUAGUUUAAAGAAGUGUUUUCUGUUGAGGUUUUGGUAAAAGUUCUUUGGAAUAGGACAUUAUAGAGGGUGAGAAUCCCGUAUUUGACCUUUACUUUCAACUUUGUGAUACACUUUCAAAGAGUCGGAUUGUUUGGGAAUGCAGUCCAAAAUGGGUGGUAAAUUUCAUCUAAAGCUAAAUAUUGGCGAGAGACCGAUAGCGAACAAGUACCGUGAGGGAAAGAUGAAAAGAACUUUGAAAAGAGAGUUAAACAGUACGUGAAAUUGUCAAAAGGGAAGCGUUUGACACCAGUGUUGUUUUUCUGAAAAUCAAUUAAAGAACUGUUUAUGCUAAGCUGUUUAGACUUUAUCAGCUAAUCUGUUUAGUUUUGAGCUUUUCUUUAAUGCACUUUUCAGUUAACAAGUCAACAUCAAUUUCUUUUGCUGUAAAAAAGCUUGAGGAAGGUGGCUUGAGAUUCGUCUUAAGUGUUUAUAGCCUCUUGCCUAUGCAGUCGGAGAGAUUGAGGUCUGCAGCGUAGAUCCUUCGGGGCUAAAUGCAUUUGUGCUAAGUUAUAACAUUUUAUAGACAACUUGUUGACUAUGAUUUGUCUUGUAGCUUACUCGCUUAUGUUAUUUUACCUACGCUUAGGAUGUUGAGUAGCGACAUACGCAC
rnacentral:rRNA from 1 species